UCGNCUCUGAAGGCCCAACGACCGGACUGAAUUUANACACUUUGGACNCCGGCCAACCGCGGCUGCGAGGGACACAACCUCCAAUCGACAUCGUUUACAGCGUGGACUUUCCAGGGUAUCUAAUCCUGUUUGCUCCCCACGCUUUCGCACCUGAAGCGUCAGUCUUUGUCCAGGGGGCCGCCUUCGCCACCGGUAUUCCUCCAGAUCUCUACGCAUUUCACCGCUACACCUGGAAUUCUACCCCCCUCUACAAGACUCUAGCUUGCCAGUUUCAAAUGCAGUUCCCACGUUAAGCGCGGGGAUUUCACAUCUGACUUAACAAACCGCCUGCGUGCGCUUUACGCCCAGUAAUUCCGAUUAACGCUUGUUUUCUCCUCCGUAUUACCGCGGCUGCUGGCACGGAGUUAGCCGGUGCUUCUUCUGCAAGUAACGUCAAUGCACAGUGCUAUUAACACUAGAACCCUUCCUCCUCGCUAAAAGUGCUUUACAACCCUAAGGCCUUCUUCACACACGCGGCAUGGCUGCAUCAGGCUUUGCGCCCAUUGUGCAAUAUUCCCCACUGCUGCCUCCCGUAGGAUUCUGGACCGUGUCUCAGUCCCAGUGUGGCUGGUCAUCCUCUCANACCAGCUAGGGAUCUUCCCCUAGGUGAGCCAUUACCCCCCCUACUACCUAUUCCCUUCUGGGCCCUUCUGAUGGCCUAAGGCCCCAAGGUCCCCCACUUNGGUCCNUANACNUUUUCCGGUUUUACUCCCGUUCCCAUUAUUU
rnacentral:rRNA from 1 species